AAAAUUAUACCAGUCACAAGGUAGAAGCUGCAACCAGAUUUUUGCAAAAGCGACGCUAUAUCCUUUAUUUAUACAGGAGCAAGGCUUUCUUGUAAUUUCUGAAGCUCACCAAAGCCUCAUCCGAAACAGUCUCGAUGGAAGAGGGACUGUCAAGAAGCCGAUUUUAAGGAAGGGAAACAGUCUGAGAAGGCUGAGAACUGUAAGCUGCAUCUGUGCUGCAAGGCCCAGGAAAUGAACCUUGGAGACCACCAGAGUAUUCCUCUCUGAUUUAUGAGCCUUAAAU